AUUUCAACAAUGAAGCGAGUGGCGAACUGGUGAGUAACACGUGGGGAAUCUGCCCAGAAGCAGGGGAUAACACUUGCAAACAGGUGCUAAUACCGUAUAACAACAAAAUCCGCAUGGAUUUUGUUUGAAAGAUGGCUUCGGCUAUCACUUUUGGAUGGUCCCGCGGCGUAUUAGCUAGAUGGUGGGGUAACGGCUCACCAUGGCAAUGAUACGUAGCCGACCUGAGAGGGUAAUCGGCCACAUUGGGACUGAGACACGGCCCAAACUCC
rnacentral:rRNA from 1 species